UCCGGCUUGUCACCGGCGGUUUCUUCAGAGUGCCCAGCAUAACCUGGGGGCAACUGAAGAUGAGGGUUGCGCUCGUUGCGGGACUUAACCCAACAUCUCACGACACGAGCUGACGACAGCCAUGCAGCACCUGUGUUCUUGCCAGCCGAACUGAAGAACCUGGUCUCCCAGGCUCAUACAAGACAUGUCAAAGGUUGGUAAGGUUCUUCGCGUUGCGUCGAAUUAAACCACAUACUCCACCGCUUGUGCGGGCCCCCGUCAAUUCAUUUGAGUUUCAACCUUGCGGCCGUACUCCCCAGGCGGCAUGCUUAUUGCGUUAGCUGCGACACAAGAAGUCUAAGACUUCCAACGUCUAGCAUGCAUCGUUUACAGCGUGGACUAC
rnacentral:misc_RNA from 1 species